rnacentral:rRNA from 1 species
AUGGCGAGUUACGGGAAUUCAACCCGAUUGCCUUCCUAUGGCUCUGUAGUAUUGUGGCAAGUGCUUAGUGAAGUGAUUAAGGCCGAUUUCAUUCACGGAAAAGAUAUUAAGGCCGAUUUCAUUCACGGAAAAGAUAUUAAGGCCAAUUUCUUGUUCGCAAAAACAAAAAAUCCAAGUACAUUUGCUCCUCAUUGUCUCAUUACCGAUAGUGCAUUGAUCGAAUGCUUUCAUUAUCUGGAACACUACACAAGGAAAAUUUGCGCAUAUAAAUUACAUUUAUCCAAGACUUAUGAUCGUGUGGAUCGAGCAUUUUCGGAGAAAACAAUUUUAAUGUUGGGCUUCGCUCGGCGGUGGGUUAGCUGGAUUAUGGCCUAUGUAAUCAUGGGGAUAUGUGAUCAAAUUUAA